AAUUCAUGAUAUAAAAUGAAUGAUAUUUUAAAUUGUUACAUGUUAUAAUUCUAGAUGUUUAAAUGCUGCGUGCCUUUUGAAUUGAUAUGAUUUCAACGCGCGUGCGAGUCGCAUUCAAAGUUGUCCGAUUCAAAGACAGGAGCGCACGCGAGCAGAUGGAAACCAUGGAAACGAGGAAACCUCUUCAACUGACAAACAGCAAAAAAUAGCGUCUCCCUGUUUUUCCACUGCUUUCAGUCUAGAAAAUCACCAUGAUGUCCUGCUACAGCCCUGUCCCAAGACAACCUCCACGGCUAUGAACUCGACUAAUGAGAUAUCAUUUGACCCUGUGAUUCUUCAGGACCAGAUCUUGAUGCCAUCCACACCCAGUACAUGACAAAGAUGCUGUGACAAAAAGCAGUCAAGCCACUGCAUGUGAUGUGGAAGCCUCUAUGAAGACAUGGCUCCGUAAUCCCUGGGACAGAGAUGGGGACGGCAAGGAAGGGCCAGAACUGCAGAAAUACCUACUGUUUCCCCUGAGGGGAUUGAUUUUUAAUUUUCAAUCCCCUGUUUUCUGUGGUUAUUGCCGUUUUAAA